GCCUUUGUAGCUCAGUUGGUAGAGCGCAUCCUUGGUAAGGAUGAGGUCUCCAGUUCAAUUCUGGACAAAGGCUCCA
rnacentral:tRNA from 4 species